UAAGAGCGAAUGGUGGAUGCCUUGACUGGUAAAGGCGAUGAAGGACGUACUAGACUGCGAUAAGCUACGGGGAGCUGUCAAGAAGCUUUGAUCCGUAGAUUUCCGAAUGGGGCAACCCAAUGUAUAGAGAUAUACAUUACCUAUAUAGGAGCGAACGAGGGGAAUUGAAACAUCUUAGUACCCUCAGGAAAAGAAAUCAAUAGAGAUUGCGUCAGUAGCGGCGAGCGAAAGCGUAAGAGGGCAAACCCAGUGCUUGCACUGGGGGUUGUAGGACUGCAAUGUGCAAGAGGUGAGUUUAGCAGAACAUUCUGGAAAGUAUAGCCAUAGAGGGUGAUAGUCCCGUAUGCGAAAAACAAACCUUAGCUAGCAGUAUCCUGAGUAGGGCGGGACACGAGAAAUCCUGUCUGAAGCUGGGUCGACCACGAUCCAACCCUAAAUACUAAUACCAGAUCGAUAGUGCACAAGUACCGUGAGGGAAAGGUGAAAAGAACUGAGGUGAUCAGAGUGAAAUAGAACCUGAAACCAUUUGCUUACAAUCAUUCAGAGCACUAUGUAGCAAUACAGUGUGAUGGACUGCCUUUUGCAUAAUGAGCCUGCGAGUUGUGGUGUCUGGCAAGGUUAAGCAAACGCGAAGCCGUAGCGAAAGCGAGUCUGAAUAGGGCGCUUAGUCAGAUGCUGCAGACCCGAAACGAAGUGAUCUAUCCAUGAGCAAGUUGAAGCUAGUGUAAGAACUAGUGGAGGACUGAACCCAUAGGCGUUGAAAAGCCCCGGGAUGACUUGUGGAUAGGGGUGAAAGGCCAAUCAAACUUCGUGAUAGCUGGUUCUCUCCGAAAUAUAUUUAGGUAUAGCGUUGUGUCGUAAUAUAAGGGGGUAGAGCACUGAAUGGGCUAGGGCAUACACCAAUGUACCAAACCCUAUCAAACUCCGAAUACCUUAUAUGUAAUCACAGCAGUCAGGCGGCGAGUGAUAAAAUCCGUCGUCAAGAGGGAAACAACCCAGACUACCAGCUAAGGUCCCUAAAUCUUACUUAAGUGGAAAACGAUGUGAAGUUACUUAAACAACCAGGAGGUUGGCUUAGAAGCAGCCAUCCUUUAAAGAAAGCGUAAUAGCUCACUGGUCUAGUGAUUUUGCGCGGAAAAUAUAACGGGGCUAAAGUAAGUACCGAAGCUGUAGACUUGCGCACAACUUAG
rnacentral:rRNA from 1 species